CAGCCGCCACGGUAAUACGUAGGUGGCGAGCGUUGUCCGGAUUUAUUGGGCGUAAAGGGAGUGUAGGCGGUCUUUUAAGUCUGAUGUGAAAGCCCACGGCUCAACCGGGGAGGGUCAUUGGAAACUGGGAAACUUGAGUGCGGAAGAGGAGAGUGGAAUUCCACGUGUAGCGGUGAAAUGCGUAGAGAUGUGGAGGAACACCAGUGGCGAAGGCGACUCUCUGGUCUGUAACUGACGCUGAGGAGCGAAAGCGUGGGGAGCGAACAGGAUUAGAUACCCGCGUAGUCCCUGUCUCUUAUAA
rnacentral:rRNA from 1 species